UACGUAGGGUGCAAGCGUUGUCCGGAAUUAUUGGGCGUAAAGAGCUCGUAGGCGGUCUGUCGCGUCGGCUGUGAAAACUCGGGGCUCAACUCCGAGCUUGCAGUCGAUACGGGCAGGCUAGAGUUCGGCAGGGGAGGACUGGAAUUCCUGGUGUAGCGGUGAAAUGCGCAGAUAUCAGGAGGAACACCGGUGGCGAAGGCGGGUCUCUGGGCCGAUACUGACGCUGAGGAGCGAAAGCGUGGGGAGCGAACAGG
rnacentral:rRNA from 1 species